UUUGGGUGCUGAUAGUGGGGCUGUUGCUUCUUCCUUGA
rnacentral:tRNA from 2 species